rnacentral:rRNA from 1 species
UAUCUCUGUAGAGUCUGCAUAUCAAUAAGCGGAGGAAAAGAAACUAACUAGGAUUCCCUCAGUAACGGCGAGUGAAGCGGGAAGAGCUCAAAUUUGAAAUCUUCAAGGUUUUACCUUGACGAAUUGUAGUUUAAAGAAGUGUUUUCUGUUGGAGUUUUGGUAAAAGUUCUUUGGAAAUAGGACAUCAUAGAGGGUGAGAAUCCCGUAUUUGGUCCAUUAUUUCCUAGCGUUGUGAUACACUUUCAAAGAGUCGGAUUGUUUGGGAAUGCAGUCCAAAAUGGGUGGUAAAUUUCAUCUAAAGCUAAAUACUGGCGAGAGACCGAUAGCGAACAUGUACCGUGAGGGAAAGAUGAAAAGAACUUUGAAAAGAGAGUUAAACAGUACGUGAAAUUGUCAAAAGGGAAGCGUUUGACACCAGUGUUGUUUUCUCGAAAAUCAAUUAAAAAUGGCGGGAUUUUGUGUUGUAUUGACUUUAUCAGCUUUCUGCACUUUUUUCCUGUCUUUUUUAAUGCACUUUUCGUUUAACAAGUCAACAUCAAUUUCUUUUGUUGUAAAAGAGUCAUUGGAAGGUGGCUUUCACUUCGGUGAAAGUGUUUAUAGCCUUUGGCUUCUGCAAUCAGAGAGAUUGAGGUCUGCAGCGUAGAUCCUUCGGGGUUAGAUACGUAGAUGCUAAGUUAUAAUUUUUUAUAGACAACUUGUUGACUAUAAUCAAUCAUGUAGCUUACUCGUUUGCGCUAUAUUACCUACGCUUAGGAUGUUGAUCUCUCACAGUCGAGC